rnacentral:lncRNA from 1 species
GUCGAAACUCUGCUGAGUAAUCUUCAUAUUUAUAGUUAACAACGUGCCAGUCUGAAUUGUAGGUUUUGAUGCACUCAGUAACAAACAAGCUCUGAGCUUCCUUCUCUGCAUUUUCAGGAACUGUUGAGUGAAUGUAUCGACUCUGUCGUUUCAAUAAUGCUGUCUGAAAGUCAUCGUAGGGGAACAGUAGCAUCUCACGUAAAGCAUCAUUCAAAAUCUGUGUUUUCCUCUGAACGAUGACAUUUUCGUAGUCUAUUGGUUCUAUGAGUUUUGGUUUUGCCAGUACAACCACAGGACUGUCCGCU